GUGCUCAUUUCAGCAGCACAUAUACGAAAGUUGGAACAAUAUUGAGAAGAUCAGCAUGGCCCCUAUGCAAGGAUGACACGUAAAUUCGUGAAGCAUUCCAUAUUUUU